rnacentral:lncRNA from 1 species
UCUCUAAAAUCUGAAGUGCUAGCAGGAAGUGCUGUGAUAAUUAUUCCUUCUAACAGCUGGCACUUCAACCUUCCUUCACACCAGGGGAAGUCAGCACACAAGAGCUGCAAGGCGAGAUCCCAUCAAGGACCCUGAUGGUUCCUGAAGUAUUUCCACAGCCUUGUGGGUAGCAAGAAGCAUCCAGCAGCUGAAGGUGGAACAGCUGUAGAAGGAAAUAUCUUUUUUAACUACAGCAUAAAAAGAGAAGGACGUGAGCUGAAGGAGAAGUGAAGAGGAUCAACACAGAGUAAAUAACAGUUAUGAUACUAAAGCAGGAAGCUUCAGAAGCAGAAACCUCAUGGCAAGCCAGAAUGAAUAAUAAUGCUGAAUUCUGGGGAUAUUGCCAGGAAAUGUCAUACAGGAUGCUCUGCAGCAGCAGCUAAGGAACUACAGGUGGAAUUGCAGGAUUAUAUGUUGCCAAGCUCAAGGCAAGCUU